rnacentral:rRNA from 1 species
UACGUAGGGAGCAAGCGUUGUCCGGAAUCAUUGGGCGUAAAGCGCGAGUAGGCGGCCCUGUAAGUCCGCUGUGAAAGUCAAAGGCUCAACCUUUGAAAGCCGGUGGAUACUGCAGGGCUAGAGUCCGGAAGAGGCGAGUGGAACUCCUGGUGUAGCGGUGGAAUGCGCAGAUAUCAGGAAGAACACCAACGGCGAAGGCAGCUCGCUGGGACGGUACUGACGCUGAGGCGCGAAAGCGUGGGGAGCGAACAGG